GGGUUGUGAGGUUAAGCGACUAAGCGUACACGGUGGAUGCCCUGGCAGUCAGAGGCGAUGAAGGACGUGCUAAUCUGCGAUAAGCGUCGGUAAGGUGAUAUGAACCGUUAUAACCGGCGAUUUCCGAAUGGGGAAACCCAGUGUGAUUCGUCACACUAUCAUUAACUGAAUCCAUAGGUUAAUGAGGCGAACCGGGGGAACUGAAACAUCUAAGUACCCCGAGGAAAAGAAAUCAACCGAGAUUCCCCCAGUAGCGGCGAGCGAACGGGGAGGAGCCCAGAGUCUGAAUCAGUGUGUGUGUUAGUGGAAGUGUCUGGAAAGGCGCGCGAUACAGGGUGACAGCCCCGUACACAAAAAUGCACAUGCUGUGAGCUCGAUGAGUAGGGCGGGACACGUGGUAUCCUGUCUGAAUAUGGGGGGACCAUCCUCCAAGGCUAAAUACUCCUGACUGACCGAUAGUGAACCAGUACCGUGAGGGAAAGGCGAAAAGAACCCCGGCGAGGGGAGUGAAAAAGAACCUGAAACCGUGUACGUACAAGCAGUGGGAGCCUCUUUAUGGGGUGACUGCGUACCUUUUGUAUAAUGGGUCAGCGACUUAUAUUCUGUAGCAAGGUUAACCGAAUAGGGGAGCCGAAGGGAAACCGAGUCUUAACUGGGCGUUAAGUUGCAGGGUAUAGACCCGAAACCCGGUGAUCUAGCCAUGGGCAGGUUGAAGGUUGGGUAACACUAACUGGAGGACCGAACCGACUAAUGUUGAAAAAUUAGCGGAUGACUUGUGGCUGGGGGUGAAAGGCCAAUCAAACCGGGAGAUAGCUGGUUCUCCCCGAAAGCUAUUUAGGUAGCGCCUCGUGAAUUCAUCUCCGGGGGUAGAGCACUGUUUCGGCAAGGGGGUCAUCCCGACUUACCAACCCGAUGCAAACUGCGAAUACCGGAGAAUGUUAUCACGGGAGACACACGGCGGGUGCUAACGUCCGUCGUGAAGAGGGAAACAACCCAGACCGCCAGCUAAGGUCCCAAAGUCAUGGUUAAGUGGGAAACGAUGUGGGAAGGCCCAGACAGCCAGGAUGUUGGCUUAGAAGCAGCCAUCAUUUAAAGAAAGCGUAAUAGCUCACUGGUCGAGUCGGCCUGCGCGGAAGAUGUAACGGGGCUAAACCAUGCACCGAAGCUGCGGCAGCGACGCUUAUGCGUUGUUGGGUAGGGGAGCGUUCUGUAAGCCUGUGAAGGUGGCCUGUGAGGGUUGCUGGAGGUAUCAGAAGUGCGAAUGCUGACAUAAGUAACGAUAAAGCGGGUGAAAAGCCCGCUCGCCGGAAGACCAAGGGUUCCUGUCCAACGUUAAUCGGGGCAGGGUGAGUCGACCCCUAAGGCGAGGCCGAAAGGCGUAGUCGAUGGGAAACAGGUUAAUAUUCCUGUACUUGGUGUUACUGCGAAGGGGGGACGGAGAAGGCUAUGUUGGCCGGGCGACGGUUGUCCCGGUUUAAGCGUGUAGGCUGGUUUUCCAGGCAAAUCCGGAAAAUCAAGGCUGAGGCGUGAUGACGAGGCACUACGGUGCUGAAGCAACAAAUGCCCUGCUUCCAGGAAAAGCCUCUAAGCAUCAGGUAACAUCAAAUCGUACCCCAAACCGACACAGGUGGUCAGGUAGAGAAUACCAAGGCGCUUGAGAGAACUCGGGUGAAGGAACUAGGCAAAAUGGUGCCGUAACUUCGGGAGAAGGCACGCUGAUAUGUAGGUGAAGUCCCUCGCGGAUGGAGCUGAAAUCAGUCGAAGAUACCAGCUGGCUGCAACUGUUUAUUAAAAACACAGCACUGUGCAAACACGAAAGUGGACGUAUACGGUGUGACGCCUGCCCGGUGCCGGAAGGUUAAUUGAUGGGGUUAGCGGUAACGCGAAGCUCUUGAUCGAAGCCCCGGUAAACGGCGGCCGUAACUAUAACGGUCCUAAGGUAGCGAAAUUCCUUGUCGGGUAAGUUCCGACCUGCACGAAUGGCGUAAUGAUGGCCAGGCUGUCUCCACCCGAGACUCAGUGAAAUUGAACUCGCUGUGAAGAUGCAGUGUACCCGCGGCAAGACGGAAAGACCCCGUGAACCUUUACUAUAGCUUGACACUGAACAUUGAGCCUUGAUGUGUAGGAUAGGUGGGAGGCUUUGAAGUGUGGACGCCAGUCUGCAUGGAGCCGACCUUGAAAUACCACCCUUUAAUGUUUGAUGUUCUAACGUUGGCCCCUGAUCGGGGUUGCGGACAGUGUCUGGUGGGUAGUUUGACUGGGGCGGUCUCCUCCUAAAGAGUAACGGAGGAGCACGAAGGUUGGCUAAUCCUGGUCGGACAUCAGGAGGUUAGUGCAAUGGCAUAAGCCAGCUUGACUGCGAGCGUGACGGCGCGAGCAGGUGCGAAAGCAGGUCAUAGUGAUCCGGUGGUUCUGAAUGGAAGGGCCAUCGCUCAACGGAUAAAAGGUACUCCGGGGAUAACAGGCUGAUACCGCCCAAGAGUUCAUAUCGACGGCGGUGUUUGGCACCUCGAUGUCGGCUCAUCACAUCCUGGGGCUGAAGUAGGUCCCAAGGGUAUGGCUGUUCGCCAUUUAAAGUGGUACGCGAGCUGGGUUUAGAACGUCGUGAGACAGUUCGGUCCCUAUCUGCCGUGGGCGCUGGAGAACUGAGGGGGGCUGCUCCUAGUACGAGAGGACCGGAGUGGACGCAUCACUGGUGUUCGGGUUGUCAUGCCAAUGGCACUGCCCGGUAGCUAAAUGCGGAAGAGAUAAGUGCUGAAAGCAUCUAAGCACGAAACUUGCCCCGAGAUGAGUUCUCCCUGACCCUUUAAGGGUCCUGAAGGAACGUUGAAGACGACGACGUUGAUAGGCCGGGUGUGUAAGCGCAGCGAUGCGUUGAGCUAACCGGUACUAAUGAACCGUGAGGCUUAACCUUACAACGCCGAAGCUGUU
rnacentral:rRNA from 1 species